ACAUACGACCACAGGGUGUGGCAGGGUGUGGAAAACAGGGCUUCCCGUCCGCUCAGCCGUACUUAAGCCACACGCCGGGAGGUUAGUAGUUGGGUGGGUGACCACCAGCGAAUCCCUUCUGUUGUAUGUU
rnacentral:rRNA from 1 species